GACGAACGCUGGCGGCGUGCUUAACACAUGCAAGUCGAACGGAAAGGCCCUGCUUUUGUGGGGUGCUCGAGUGGCGAACGGGUGAGUAACACGUGAGUAACCUGCCCUUGACUUUGGGAUAACUUCAGGAAACUGGGGCUAAUACCGGAUAGGAGCUCCUGCUGCAUGGUGGGGGUUGGAAAGUUUCGGCGGUUGGGGAUGGACUCGCGGCUUAUCAGCUUGUUGGUGGGUAGUGGCUUACCAAGGCGUUGACGGGUAGCCGGCCUGAGAGGGUGACCGGCCACAUUGGGCCUGAGAUACGGCCCAGACUCCUACGGGAGGCAGCAGUGGGGAAUAUUGCACAAUGGGCGGAAGCCUGAUGCAGCAACGCCGCGUGCGGGAUGACGGCCUUCGGGUUGUAAACCGCUUUCGCCUGUGACGAAGCGUGAGUGACGGUAAUGGGUAAAGAAGCACCGGCUAACUACGUG
rnacentral:rRNA from 1 species